rnacentral:sRNA from 1 species
UGAUGGUAUGUGCUGUCACCGAUGAG